rnacentral:rRNA from 1 species
UUUCCGUAGGUGAACCUGCGGAAGGAUUAUUGUC